GCGCAGGUGGCAGAGCGGUCAAUUGCACCUGACUGUAAAUCAGGCGCCUUCGGGCUACGCAGGUUCGAAUCCUGCCCUGCGCA
rnacentral:tRNA from 1 species